rnacentral:rRNA from 1 species
GACAGAGGAUGCAAGCGUUAUCCGGAAUGAUUGGGCGUAAAGCGUCUGUAGGUGGCUUUUUAAGUCCGCCGUCAAAUCCCAGGGCUCAACCCUGGACAGGCGGUGGAAACUACCAAGCUGGAGUACGGUAGGGGCAGAGGGAAUUUCCGGUGGAGCGGUGAAAUGCGUAGAGAUCGGAAAGAACACCAACGGCGAAGGCACUCUACUGGGCCACUACUGACACUGAGAGACGAAAGCUAGGGGAGCAAAUGGG